GGCUCAGGAUGAACGCUGGCGGUGUGGAUAAGGCAUGCAAGUCGAGGGGGCCUCUCACUUGGUACAUGAGUAAUCGUGUUUCAAGUGAGAGGUCACCGGCAGACGAGGUAGUAACACGUAGGAACGUACCCCGUAGUCAGGAAUAGCCCAUCGAAAGAUGGAGUAAUACUUGAUACACUCGCGAGAGGAAAGAUUUAUCGCUAUGGGAACGGCCUGCGGAAUAUCAGCUUGUUGGCAGUGUAAAGGACCACCAAGGCUAUGACGUUUAGGAGAGCUGAGAGGCUGACCUCCACCGAUGGGACUGCGACACGGCCCAUACACCUACGGGUGGCUGCAGUCGAGAAUCUUCCACAAUGGGCGAAAGCCUGAUGGAGCGACACCGCGUGACUGAUGACGUCUUUCGGGAUGUAAAGGUCUUUUAUGAGGGAUGACAUAGCGACAGUACCUCAUGAAUAAGGGGCUGCUAAUCACGUG
rnacentral:rRNA from 1 species